GUAGGUGGCAAGCGUUGUCCGGAAUUAUUGGGCGUAAAGCGCGCGCAGGUGGUUCUUUAAGUCUGAUGUGAAAGCCCCCGGGCUCAACCGGGGAGGGUCAUUGGAAACUGGGGAACUUGAGUGCAGGAGAGGAAAGUGGAAUUCCACGUGUAGCGGUGAAAUGCGUAGAUAUGUGGAGGAACACCAGUGGCGAAGGCGACUUUCUGGCCUGUAACUGACACUGAGGCGCGAAAGCGUGGGGAGCAAACAGGAUUAGAUACCCUGGUAGUCCACGCCGAAAACGAUGAGUGCUAAGUGUUGGGGGGUUUCCGCCCCUCAGUGCUGCAGCUAACGCAUUAAGCACUCCGCCUGGGGAGUACGGUCGCAAAGACUG
rnacentral:rRNA from 1 species